GGGAUAACAGUUGGAAACGACCGCUAAUACCGCAUAAGCCGGAAGGAUCGCAUGAUCCGGCCGGAAAAGAUUUAUCGGUGUGAGAUGGACCCGCGUCUGAUUAGCCAGUUGGCAGGGUAACGGCCUACCAAAGCGACGAUCAGUAGCCGGCCUGAGAGGGUGAACGGCCACAUUGGGACUGAGACACGGCCCAAACUCCUACGGGAGGCAGCAGUGGGGAAUAUUGCACAAUGGGGGAAACCCUGAUGCAGCGACGCCGCGUGAGUGAAGAAGUAUUUCGGUAUGUAAAGCUCUAUCAGCAGGGAAGAAAAUGACGGUACCUGACUAAGAAGCCCCGGCUAACUACGUGCCAGCAGCCGCGGUAAUACGUAGGGGGCAAGCGUUAUCCGGAUUUACUGGGUGUAAAGGGAGCGUAGACGGCCAGACAAGUCAGAAGUGAAAGCCCAGGGCUCAACCCUGGGACUGCUUUUGAAACUGCCGGGCUGGAGUGCAGGAGAGGUAAGCGGAAUUCCUAGUGUAGCGGUGAAAUGCGUAGAUAUUAGGAGGAACACCAGUGGCGAAGGCGGCUUACUGGACUGUAACUGACGUUGAGGCUCGAAAGCGUGGGGAGCAAACAGGAUUAGAUACCCUGGUAGUCCACGCCGUAAAC
rnacentral:rRNA from 1 species